GGUUUGCUAAUGCUUUUUAUGAAACUUACGCGAGACAAGAAAAUCCUUUGAGGCAAUAUACCGCUAAAUAGAAUUCCCUAAUAUAUAAAACUGACAUUUUUCAAAGAGCUACAAAACAUAGCUAGACCCAUUUUACAGAACAAAUACUUAUUUCAUUUUAUACAGCUAUGAUUAGGGUUAGAGUGAGAAAAGUAGGGGUCAUGUAUCUUCUAAGCAAAAUUUCUAGCGUCACACUUGUUACUAUAAAAUUACUUAAAAUUGCACUGCUGUGACGUGGAAGAACCAACAAUACUAAAAUUAAAAUUCACUUUAUCAAAUACAUCGUUUGCUCGCAUUUUUGCUACUAAAAUGUCAAAAGCAUAUCCAUGGUGAAAUUUAAACAGAAAACAGCUUAAAUUUAGACGUCUAUGGCCAUGCAGAGUUAAAAGGUAGUGUUGAAUAGCCUGUCCACCAUUACGCGACAAGGCCAGAUGCCGCCCACGUUGGUUCCUUUACAAAAGUCAGGUCUUUUAGAAGCACAGGCACGAAGUAAUGCACGAUAUAUUUUACCGAGAGACACGAAUGCAAAUUUCCGGCAAAACAUGAAGCGAGGCACGAUAUUCUACCAUGAAAUCUCUCGGGACGGGAUACUUUGACAUUGCGAGAUCUCGUGUUAUAAUAUCGUGCCUCCCUUCGUGUCUCGUCGGAAUGUCGCUUUUUGCCCGAUUCUGUGAGACCCGAUAUUCCAUAAUAAUGGCAUUAUCCGGAUCCUUUUUGGAACUCAUGCACGUUGUAAGUGCUUUUUCAAUGGCGGAUCUGAAAGCAGCAAUUCUCGGAAAAUGGCGAUAUUAUAUGUAUAUAUAUUUCUAUAUAUUUCUGGUGAAGACAAAAUACGUGCGGGAUGGUCUUCUCAUUUUCACUUAGAUCAUGUUGGGGCCUCCGUGGCAGAGUAAUUUAAAACAAAACACUUGCCCCAUAAAGCUGUAGGUUGACACUCACUCCGGGCGUCGAACUAUUCAUGCGAGGAAGUCUGUCCAGGGUCCAAAUGCGGAAUACGUAUUCGCGUGCGUACGUAAUAAUUAUCGCGUGCGCACGUAAUAAAUAAAUAAAUCAUAUGUCCCUUUCAUGCCACCGUGGAUAAUACCUUGUUGUUGCUUAGAAUAUUUCUUAAAUCAUUUAUAAUAUUUUUAGCAUCGGAAAGAAACGUGUCGCAAUUAAUAAUGAUAAGCAUGGACUCACCACAUAUCUGUUUGGAAGUGACCUAAAAUACAGAAAACAUAGAACAUGGCUUAGAGACGGUAUACGGACGGACAUAAUUAUUACCUGAAGAAUAUGAGACAAAUGUGCUUCGAGUGUCUUUUCUAUUGUGUGUCGAACACAUCUGUCUAAUUUUCAAUUUGUCGCAAAUAUGAAUUUUUACCAGCACAUCGGUCCCACCUCGUGAGACAAAUGUGUUCCGAGACAAAUGUGCUCCUACAUAGCUCUAUAACGAUGGCACUUUGCGAAGCAACGUAGCUUUUAUCAAAUGGUUGAGACAUUGUAUAGAGUGUGGUCCUUAUGUAAUUCUUAUGUAAUCUUGUUGUGAUUAAUGCUUCCGAGUGAUCACUUUGUUUCCAGAUUCUUAUACUUCACAACAGCAGGUGUCAAGUGCCGUCUGGCAGUUGUAAAAAGCUGCCCCGUAUUUCACUUCAGUGUUGCUAUAUUUUUCUGGUCCUUCGGGAUCAUUGAUGCCAACACUAUUUAGUAUUGAGAAUUUUAGUACCGCGAAUUGAGUACCGCUCAAGCGAAUUGAGUACCGCUCAAGCUGGUGCUAGGGGGCUUGAGGGAUGUUGCACUUAAUCAUUAUUCCUCAUGUACAGACUCAAUCAAACCGAGUCUGCAAUUCUUAUGGGAUCACCUUAUUUCCAGAUUCUUAUACUUCACAACAGCAGGUGUCGAGUGCCGUCUGGCAGCUGUAAAAAUUUGCCCCGUACUUCAUUUCAGUGUUGUUAUAUUUUUCUGGUCCUUCGGGAUCAUUGAUGCAAACACUAUUAAGUGUUGAGUAUUGAGUACCGCUUAAGCCUGUGCUAGGGGGCGUGAGGGAUGUUGCACUUAAUCAUUAUUCCUCAUGUACAGACUCAAUCAAACCGAGUCUGCAAUUCUUAUGUUAUUUUGUUGUGAUUUAUGCUUCCGAGGGAUCACUUUGUUUCCAUAUUCCUAUAUAAAAAGUUUAACAUUGUCGCAUGGAGUGUGGUAUUAUAUAAAAACGUAAAAAGUUGUCGUAUGAUGUAUGUUUUUAGAAGAAUUGACUUGAAACUCAUACAUUAUUUUCUAGCUUUGCCUUGAAUUUAGUGACCAAAUUAUUAAAAUGAUUUGAUGGUUUGUUGUUUCAAUUGAUUAUGUUUUAUUUGUGUUGUUUCCUUUAUUUUCUGUCAUCAGGUAGAAAAGGUAUCGGAUACGAGCCCAAUAUUUCCGGUUAGUAUAGAAGCUGACGUAUAGGAGGGUUAAAGAUCAAAAACACCGACACAUGACAUUUACAUCUGAAACUUAUUUACCGUUGAAAUAGUUCUUCGUUCAAAAGGAAAUAAAAUAAUAGUAUCUAA